rnacentral:rRNA from 1 species
GAUGAACGCUGGCGGCGUGCCUAAUACAUGCAAGUCGAACGGUAACACUUCGGGUGACGAGUGGCGGACGGCUGAGUAACGCGUAGGAACGUACCCCAAACUGAGGGAUAACUCCGAGAAAUCGGGGCUAAUACCGCAUGUGCUCUAAGGAGUAAAGCUUCGGCGGUUUGGGAACGGCCGGCGUAUGAUUAGCUUGUUGGUGAGGUAAUGGCUCACCAAGGCGACGAUCAUUAGCUGGUUUGAGAGGAUGAUCAGCCAGACUGGGACUGAGACACGGCCCAGACUCCUACGGGAGGCAGCAGUAGGGAAUUUUCCACAAUGGGCGAAAGCCUGAUGGAGCAACGCCGCGUGCAGGAUGAAGGCCUUCGGGUCGUAAACUGCUUUUAUAUGUGAAGAAUUUUGACGGUAACAUAUGAAUAAGGAUCGGCUAACUCCGUGCCAGCCGCCGCCGUAA